rnacentral:rRNA from 1 species
AGAUUGAACGCUGGCGGCAGGCCUAACACAUGCAAGUCGAGCGGCAGCACGGGUACUUGUACCUGGUGGCGAGCGGCGGACGGGUGAGUAAUGCCUAGGAAUCUGCCUGGUAGUGGGGGAUAACGCUCGGAAACGGACGCUAAUACCGCAUACGUCCUACGGGAGAAAGCAGGGGACCUUCGGGCCUUGCGCUAUCAGAUGAGCCUAGGUCGGAUUAGCUAGUUGGUGAGGUAAUGGCUCACCAAGGCGACGAUCCGUAACUGGUCUGAGAGGAUGAUCAGUCACACUGGAACUGAGACACGGUCCAGACUCCGUACGGGAGGCAGCGAGUGGGGAAUAGUUGGAACAAGUGGGACGAAAGCCGUGAUCCGAGCCAUCGCCGACGUGUCGUGAAGUAAGGUCUUACGG